UGGGGAAUAUUGCGCAAUGGACGAAAGUCUGACGCAGCGACGCCGCGUGUGGGAGGAAGCUCUUCGGGGUGUAAACCACUGUCAGGAGGGAAGAACGGCGCCGGUUCGAACAGUUCCGGCGAUUGACGGUACCUCCAAAGGAAGCGCCGGCUAACUCCGUGCCAGCAGCCGCGGUAAGACGGAGGGCGCAAGCGUUGUUCGGAUUUACUGGGCGUAAAGGGCGCGUAGGCGGUGUGUCAAGUCAGUUGUGAAAUCUCCGAGCUUAACUCGGAACGGUCAACUGAUACUGUCACACUAGAGUACAGAAGGGGCAAUCGGAAUUCUUGGUGUAGCGGUGAAAUGCGUAGAUAUCAAGAGGAACACCUGAGGCGAAGGCGGGUUGCUGGGCUGAUACUGACGCUGAGGCGCGAAAGCUAGGGUAGCAAACGGGAUUAGAUACCCCAGUAGUCCCUGAGCGGGCUGGCAAGGCGCAU
rnacentral:rRNA from 1 species